AGUCUGACCAGAAUGUUCUGGAGAAAGCCAAGGAUCAGGUCUGAGGACUUUCAAAAAUGAAGAGAAAUAUACCUGCAGGUUCCAGCAAGCCCAGAGCUCAGAAACUCCCGGGUAUUACAGACUGAAUCUGCACCAGACAAACUGCAGAGACACUCACUGAUUCUCUUUGCCAUG
rnacentral:lncRNA from 12 species